GAAAGCUGCUUGUCCAGGAGAUAGCAAAAUGCUGACAAAUGAGAAACAGACCUGCAUAGCCAUCACACCCUCUAGAACCAAGGGGUAGUGUUUUAAGAUAGAGGACUGGGUGAGUAUCAGAAAGCUGUGCUUUGAAAACCUGACUGCUUUUAAGUAUUUCCUGUUUUGUUCUCAUUUUGUAGGUAUUAGAAUUAUUUCUGAAUUAUCAGUCUCUCAUUUGUGCUUUGGGGAAGCAGAAAAGGCAAAAGGGGUCUUUGGCCAUCUGCUGGAGCUUCCAGGGAGGAUGUGUCUCCAAGAGACCAGGUGUACCGAGUUUGAAAUCCCAGAAGCCCAAGAGGAAAAGAACCACAGGGAGGAAAAGACUGUCCAAAGGCUUCUGGAGUCUUCUGUUCUCUAACCUUGGAAGGUUUUGAACAAUAUUUCUCAGAGGAUAGCCUUUCACUUAUUCAUCUGUCCAGCAUGACUCAUCCCCAGGAGUGUUGAUGCUUUGUUUACAAUGAAUGUCUUACAAAUGCUGACUGAACAACACUAGCAUACCUGCAUGAACAACAGUGUCUGUCUUCACCAAGAAGGAUGACUUUGAUUCGCUGUAAUUGGCCACUGUUGCUAAUGGAGUAGAGAGAGUCUUGCUACAUGCGGGAACUAGAAUUACACCAUUGCAUUUUUUGGCUUUGUUUCUUCAAUGGGUUGUAGUGUAUGAAUAUUAUUACAAAAUAAAAUUAUUUAAAAAUA
rnacentral:sRNA from 1 species